AGAGUUUGAUCCUGGCUCAGAACGAACGCUGGCGGCGUGGAUAAGACAUGCAAGUCGAACGGGAUUUUUUUCUGUAGCAAUACAGGAAAAAGUCUAGUGGCGAACGGGUGCGUAACACGUGAGCAACCUGCCGUGAAGUGGGGGAUAGCUCGCCGAAAGGCGAAUUAAUACCGCAUGUGGCCAAGGAAGACAUCUUCCUGACGCCAAAGCCGGGGCAACCUGGCGCUUCUCGAGGGGCUCGCGGCCUAUCAGCUUGUUGGUGAGGUAACGGCUCACCAAGGCUAUGACGGGUAGCUGGUCUGAGAGGACGACCAGCCACACUGGAACUGAGACACGGUCCAGACACCUACGGGUGGCAGCAGUCGAGAAUUUUUCACAAUGGGGGAAACCCUGAUGGAGCGACGCCGCGUGGAGGAUGAAGGUUUUCGGAUUGUAAACUCCUGUCAUUAGAGAACAAGGCACACGGUUUAACUGGCCGUGUGUUGAUAGUAUCUGAAGAGGAAGAGACGGCUAACUCUGUGCCAGCAGCCGCGGUAAUACAGAGGUCUCAAGCGUUGUUCGGAUUCAUUGGGCGUAAAGGGUGCGUAGGUGGCGAUGUAAGUCGGAUGUGAAAUCUCCAAGCUUAACUUGGAAACUGCAUUCGAUACUGCGUUGCUAGAGGACUGUAGAGGGCAUUGGAAUUCACGGUGUAGCAGUGAAAUGCGUAGAUAUCGUGAGGAAGACCAGUGGCGAAGGCGAAUGCCUGGGCAGUUCCUGACACUGAGGCACGAAGGCCAGGGGAGCAAACGGGAUUAGAUACCCCGGUAGUCCUGGCAGUAAACGGUGCACGUUUGGUGUGGGAGGAUUCGACCCCUUCCGUGCCGGAGCAAACGCGUUAAACGUGCCGCCUGGGGAGUACGGUCGCAAGAUUAAAACUCAAAUGAAUUGACGG
rnacentral:rRNA from 1 species